rnacentral:rRNA from 1 species
UAAAGAUUCAUCGCUGAUAGAUAGGCAUGCGUUCCAUUAGGCAGUUGGCGGGGUAACGGCCCACCAAACCGACGAUGGAUAGGGGUUCUGAGAGGAAGGUCCCCCACAUUGGUACUGAGACACGGACCAAACUCCUACGGGAGGCAGCAGUGAGGAAUAUUGGUCAAUGGGCGUAAGCCUGAACCAGCCAAGUCGCGUGAGGGAUGAAGGUUCUAUGGAUCGUAAACCUCUUUUAUAAGGGAAUAAAGUGCGGGACGUGUCCCGUUUUGUAUGUACCUUAUGAAUAAGGAUCGGCUAACUCCGUGCCAGCAGCCGCGGUAAUACGGAGGAUCCGAGCGUUAUCCGGAUUUAUUGGGUUUAAAGGGUGCGUAGGCGGCCUUUUAAGUCAGCGGUGAAAGUCUGUGGCUCAACCAUAGAAUUGCCGUUGAAACUGGGAGGCUUGAGUAUGUUUGAGGCAGGCGGAAUGCGUGGUGUAGCGGUGAAAUGCUUAGAUAUCACGCAGAACCCCGAUUGCGAAGGCAGCCUGCCAAGCCAUGACUGACGCUGAUGCACGAAAGCGUGGGGAUCAAACAGGAUUAGAUACCCUGGUAGUCCACGCAGUAAACGAUGAUCACUAGCUGUUUGCGAUACAC